CCUACGGGGUGCUGCAGUGGGGAAUAUUGGACAAUGGGCGAAAGCCUGAUCCAGCCAUGCCGCGUGUGUGAAGAAGGCCUUCGGGUUGUAAAGCACUUUCAGUGGGGAAGAAAGCCUUGGGGCUAAUACCCUCGAGGAAGGACAUUACCCACAGAAGAAGCACCGGCUAACUCCGUGCCAGCAGCCGCGGUAAUACGGAGGGUGCGAGCGUUAAUCGGAAUUACUGGGCGUAAAGCGCGCGUAGGCGGUCUGAUAAGCCGGUUGUGAAAGCCCCGGGCUCAACCUGGGAACGGCAUCCGGAACUGUCAGGCUAGAGUGCAGGAGAGGAAGGUAGAAUUCCCGGUGUAGCGGUGAAAUGCGUAGAGAUCGGGAGGAAUACCAGUGGCGAAGGCGGCCUUCUGGACUGACACUGACGCUGAGGUGCGAAAGCGUGGGGAGCAAACAGGAUUAGAUACCCCAGUAGUC
rnacentral:rRNA from 1 species